GGGAUUCCCAUAGUAACUGCGAGUGAAAGGGGAAAAGCCCAGCGCCGAAUCCUGCUGCUGGAGACGGUGGCAGGAACUGUGGCGUGAAGAUGGUGUCUAUCGGUGUGGCUCGCUCGCGUAAGUUCUCCUGAGUGAGGCUCCAUCCCAUGGAGGGUGCAAGGCCCGUGUCGUGAGCAGCCGUCGCCGAUGUGCGCUAUCAGAGAGUCGCCUUGUUUGCGAGUACAAGGUGAAGUCGGUGGUAAACUCCAUCGAAGGCUAAAUAUGACCACGAGUCCGAUAGCGAACAAGUACCGUGAGGGAAAAUUGAAAAGCACUUUGAAGAGAGAGCGAAACAGUGCGUGAAACCGCUCAGAGGCAAGCAGAUGGGGCCUCGAAGGCAGAGCCGCGAAUUCAGCCGGUGGUCCGUGCGGUGGGUUGGGAUGUGAGAGCGCAAGCCUCUGCCUGGCCUACUCGGUGCGGCUACCGGUGCACUUUCGCGGCUUGUACGCCACCGCCGUUAAGGAGCGUCCGCCGGGCCUGCGUGCGGAGCCUAGCUGUCUUCGGGCAGUUGGUGUCUCGCUGCGGGUCUGUGCGCGAUCGCGCUUUAACCGGUCAUGUCAGCAUGUGCCAGCGUUUGCGCUGGGUCGGCCGGCUCCGGUUGGGUUGUACGGGGAUGACGAGCUUGCUCGGCUCUCCUGCGCCUGAUGGACUCGUGCUGGCUUUCAGCGUGGCACAUUGUGGAUUCGGUGGCGAGUAGACGGCUGCCCAUCUAACCCGUCUUGAAA
rnacentral:rRNA from 1 species